AGUGAACGCUGGCGGUAGGCCUAACACAUGCAAGUCGAACGGCAGCACAGUAAGAGCUUGCUCUUACGGGUGGCGAGUGGCGGACGAGUGAGGAAUACAUCGGACUCUACUUUUUCGUGGGGGAUAACGUAGGGAAACUUACGCUAAUACCGCAUACGCCCUACGGGUGAAAGCAGUGGAUCUUCGGACCUUGCGCGAUUGAAUGCGCCGAUGUCGGAUUAGCUAGUUGGCGGGGUAAAGGCCCACCAAGGCGACGAUCCGUAGCUGGUCUGAGAGGAUGAUCGGCCACACUGGAACUGAGACACGGUCCAGACUCCUACGGGAGGCAGCAGUGGGGAAUAUGGGACAAUGGGCGCAAGCCUGAUCCAGCCAUACCGCGUGGGUGAAGAAGGCCUUCGGGUUGUAAAGCCCUUUUGUUGGGAAAGAAAAGCAGCAGGUUAAUACCCCGCUGUUCUGACGGUACCCAAAGAAUAAGCACCGGCUAACUUCGUG
rnacentral:rRNA from 1 species